rnacentral:piRNA from 1 species
UGCCAAAAUGACUGUCUGGUUAUCAUCCA